AUUGAACGCUGGCGGCAGGCCUAACACAUGCAAGUCGAGCGAGCGGCGGACGGGUGAGUAAUGUCUGGGAAACUGCCUGAUGGAGGGGGAUAACUACUGGAAACGGUAGCUAAUACCGCAUACCAUCAGAUGUGCCCAGUUGGGAUUAGCUAGUAGGUGGGGUAACGGAUCACCUAGGCGACGAUCCCUAGCUGGUCUGAGAGGAUGACCAGCCACAAGGGAACGGAGAAACGGUCCAGACUCCUACGGGAGGCAGCAGUGGGGAAUAUUGCACAAUGGGCGAAAGCCUGACGCAGCCAUGCCGCGUGUGGGAAGAGGGCCUUCGGGGUGUAAAGCACUUUCAGCGGGGAGGCGUUACCCAAAGAGGAAGCACCGGCUAACUCCGUGCCAGCAGCCGCGGUAAUUC
rnacentral:rRNA from 1 species